GAAGAGAAAAGAGGAAGUCAACCCUUGGACCAGGUCCAGUGUGUUUUCCCAGACCCUCAUGUUGCCUGUUCUUCCAGACUGGUGAACUGCUGCCUCACCUCUAGCUUCUGCCGAGGUCUCUUCUCAAGUCUCAGCACCAACCAGAGCCUCACUGAACUGGACCUCAGUGACAAUACUCUAGGGGAUCCAGGCAUGAGGGUGCUGUGUGAGGCACUCCAGCACCCAGGCUGUAACAUUCAGAGACUGUGGUUGGGGCGCUGCGGACUGACCCAUCAAUGCUGUUUCAACAUCUCCUCUGUCCUGAGCAGCAGCCAGAAGCUGGUGGAGCUGGACCUCAGUGACAAUGCCCUGGGGGACUUUGGAGUCAGACUGCUGUGCGUGGGACUGAAGCAUCUGCUCUGCAACCUGCAGAAACUCUGGUUGGUCAGCUGCUGUCUCACAUCUGCGUGUUGUCAGGAUCUCGCAUUGGUUCUGAGCUCCAACCAUUCUCUGACCAGACUGUACAUUGGAGAAAAUGCCUUGGGAGACUCAGGAGUUCAAGUUUUGUGUGAAAAAAUGAAGGACCCACAGUGUAACUUGCAGAAGCUGGGGUUGGUGAAUUCCGGCCUUACUUCACUGUGCUGCUCAGCUCUGACCUCUGUGCUCAAAACCAACCAGAACCUCACACACCUGUACCUACGAAGCAAUGCCCUUGGAGACAUGGGACUCAAGCUCCUCUGUGAGGGACUUCUGCACCCCGACUGUAAGCUACAGAUGCUGGAGUUAGACAACUGCAGCCUCACCUCACACUCCUGCUGGGAUCUCUCCACAAUUCUGACCCAUAACCAGAGCCUCCGGAAGCUGA
rnacentral:lncRNA from 1 species